rnacentral:sRNA from 1 species
AUAAACAAAACAUCAAGUCAAUUUGGACUACAAAAACACAAACCAAGCUUCUUCAUGAUUCUCAAAGCUUUGAUGGUGAACCCGAAGUUCUUAACAGUUUUUGGUUUUGAAUCGUAUAACAAGGAAGCACUACUUUACUCUUCGGGAUCUCGUUGAGGUUCUAGUUUUAUAUUCAAUCAUACACAUGACAUCUACUCAUAUUUAACU